AGGAGAGAAAUCAUGUGAGCUUGAGAAGGAAUCAGAUUCUGCAUAUAUUUCCAAGUUAACAUGAACAAGAUUUUCUGAAAGACUGCUAUGGAGUCUGAGAAAAAAUGUCAAAGGUAGUGCCAAAAUUGUCACUUAAAGAACUGCAGGAAUGGAGUUGGCAUUUACAGAAUUUGGAAGAGAAGCAGGUUUAGUGAUAAAGACCAGAAGCACAGAGCUAAGCAUAUUAAAUGUGAGUUGUCUAUUAGGCAUUCAAGAAGACAUAUAGAGUGGGCAGUGGCUAUAUGAGGCUAGAGUUCUGGGAAGGCUGGGCUGAUGACAGAAAUGUAUUAGUCAUUAACAUUUAUGUGUGUGUGUACACAUAUGCACAUGAACACUGGAUAUGCGAAUGCACAGAUUGAGGACAUGAAGAGGAAAGAACUGACAGAGGAGGUGAAGAAAGGUGAUCAGGAAGAGCCAUCAAAGUGUUAUCCUGGAAUUCAAGUGAAGACAGUGUUUCAAAGUGGAAAUGAACAGUGUCCUGUAACCCUCAGAGUGAGACUAGAGUCAGAAUGCAGGCUUUUCUCAUUUGAAAUCUCAAGGUAAGUCCAGGUCCUUACCUCCACCUAAAAGUUCUGCCAUCAAGGAACAUCUGCUCAUUAUCUUCUGUUCACACAUCAAAUGACUUCAAUGUGAUCCCUGGAUGUUCUCCAAAGAGCUGAAGGGAAAUAAAUAUUCUUUCUUUAUCACCAAAUACUUCAACUGCAGAGUGAUUGUGCUACCAAGGCCUGAAACUUCGGAAAAACCUGCAUAACACAAAAUAUAAAAUAUGCCACAGAGAGGAUCCAGAGAGCCCAUCUCCGGUCAGUUAUCUGUAUUUGUAUGUCAACUACAGCAUCAAAAAGCAUAGGCAUGGAUACUAAGGACCCCCUCUGUACACCAACGCCAGUCCAAAGGACAGUGUGUCACUGUGAACUGGAAAUUCAUCUCUCUUCUUCAAUUUUUUUCUACCUACUUUAUGCUUUAUCUCUAAGUUGAGGCUGUUUAUGGCCUCAUCCUCAAUUACCUUGUCCCUCAUUACUCCCAGUUAAUGGAGAUUAAGCUUUGUAUCAUGACUUCCUAACUAAAAUUGAAAUCACAAGACAUCACAUAAAUAAAGUUACAAAUGGAUUAGAUAAACAUUCA
rnacentral:lncRNA from 1 species